GCAGUGGUGGUUCAGUGGUAGAAUUCCCACCUUCCAUGUGGGAGACCUGGGUUCAAUUCCCAGUCAAUGCA
rnacentral:tRNA from 2 species